AUGCAGAUGGGGGGUGGAGCUGUGCUUAUCUCUCGCCUUGUCCAGAAGUUUGAACAGCGGAGCAAACGAUUUGAUCGUGUUUUUAUUGUGCUUCUCCCCCUCUCUUCUCUCAGGGAGCUGUAAACCGGGGAUAAUCUGUAAUUCUCCCAGCCUAAUUGUGCUGCCCGGCCACCUGAGCGUCAUCACCUCGCCGGGAAAAUGCCCUCCAUCUUCCCGGCUCUCCAGAGCCGCUCGAGGACGUGGGGCGUGUGCCGGCUGCCUUCCCAGCUGGCUGCCGAGUCCUGAGACCGAGUGUUCCCCGAGCUCAACACUUUUGAUGAAAAGAUGUCAGCCCUGCCCGGCUCCCCGAGGAUGCUCCCUCUACGGGCGAUGCUGAGGCAGCGUUGCUCCCGCUCCACACCACGUCCUACGCCAGAAUCCCGUGGGUCAGCCCCGCACAGUGGGCACUAACACUGCAGGAGAAACCGUGACUUCCAGACUGUGAAACUUUUAGAUUAAAUCCUCUCUUGUA